GGUAAGGUGGCUGAGUUUUAAGCGGUGGGUUGUAGCCCCAUGGACGAAGGUUCAAUUCCUUUCCUUAUCA
rnacentral:tRNA from 1 species